GACAGAGGGUGCAAACGUUGUUCGGAAUUACUGGGCGUAAAGCGAGUGUAGGCGGUCUGUAAAGUCGGGUGUGAAAGCCCCGGGCUCAACCCGGGAAGUGCACUCGAAACUCACAGGCUAGAGUAUCGGAGAGGUUGGUGGAAUUCUCGGUGUAGAGGUGAAAUUCGUAGAUAUCAGGAGGAACACCGGUGGCGAAGGCGGGUCUCUGGGCCGAUACUGACGCUGAGGAGCGAAAGCGUGGGGAGCGAACAGG
rnacentral:rRNA from 1 species